rnacentral:rRNA from 1 species
AGUCGAACGGUGAAGCCAAGCUUGCUUGGUGGAUCAGUGGCGAACGGGUGAGUAACACGUGAGCAACCUGCCCUGGACUCUGGGAUAAGCGCUGGAAACGGCGUCUAAUACUGGAUAUGAGACGUGAUCGCAUGGUCGUGUUUGGAAAGAUUUUUCGGUCUGGGAUGGGCUCGCGGCCUAUCAGCUUGUUGGUGAGGUAAUGGCUCACCAAGGCGUCGACGGGUAGCCGGCCUGAGAGGGUGACCGGCCACACUGGGACUGAGACACGGCCCAGACUCCUACGGGAGGCAGCAGUGGGGAAUAUUGCACAAUGGGCGGAAGCCUGAUGCAGCAACGCCGCGUGAGGGAUGACGGCCUUCGGGUUGUAAACCUCUUUUAGCAGGGAAGAAGCGAAAGUGACGGUACCUGCAGAAAAAGCGCCGGCUAACUACGUGCCAGCAGCCGCGGUAAUACGUAGGGCGCAAGCGUUAUCCGGAAUUAUUGGGCGUAAAGAGCUCGUAGGCGGUUUGUCGCGUCUGCUGUGAAAUCCCGAGGCUCAACCUCGGGCUUGCAGUGGGUACGGGCAGACUAGAGUGCGGUAGGGGAGAUUGGAAUUCCUGGUGUAGCGGUGGAAUGCGCAGAUAUCAGGAGGAACACCGAUGGCGAAGGCAGAUCUCUGGGCCGUAACUGACGCUGAGGAGCGAAAGGGUGGGGAGCAAACAGGCUUAGAUACCCUGGUAGUCCACCCCGUAAACGUUGGGAACUAGUUGUGGGGACCAUUCCACGGUUUCCGUGACGCAGCUAACGCAUUAAGUUCCCCGCCUGGGGAGUACGGCCGCAAGGCUAAAACUCAAAGGAAUUGACGGGGACCCGCACAAGCGGCGGAGCAUGCGGAUUAAUUCGAUGCAACGCGAAGAACCUUACCAAGGCUUGACAUACACCAGAACACCGUAGAAAUACGGGACUCUUUGGACACUGGUGAACAGGUGGUGCAUGGUUGUCGUCAGCUCGUGUCGUGAGAUGUUGGGUUAAGUCCCGCAACGAGCGCAACCCUCGUUCUAUGUUGCCAGCACGUAAUGGUGGGAACUCAUGGGAUACUGCCGGGGUCAACUCGGAGGAAGGUGGGGAUGACGUCAAAUCAUCAUGCCCCUUAUGUCUUGGGCUUCACGCAUGCUACAAUGGCCGGUACAAAGGGCUGCAAUACCGUAAGGUGGAGCGAAUCCCAAAAAGCCGGUCCCAGUUCGGAUUGAGGUCUGCAACUCGACCUCAUGAAGUCGGAGUCGCUAGUAAUCGCAGAUCAGCAACGCUGCGGUGAAUACGUUCCCGGGUCUUGUACACACCGCCCGUCAAGUCAUGAAAGUCGGUAACACCUGAAGCCGGUGGCCCAACCCUUGUGAGGGAGCCGUCGAAGGUG